rnacentral:rRNA from 1 species
AUUGAACGCUGGCGGCAUGCCUUACACAUGCAAGUCGAACGGCAGCACGGGGGCGAACCCUGGUGGCGAGUGGCGAACGGGUGAGUAAUACAUCGGAACGUGCCCCGUACGCGGGGGACGAACCAGUCGAAAGACUGGCUAAUACCGCAUACGCUCCACGGAGGAAAGCAGGGGAUCGCAAGACCUUGCACUAUGGGAGCGGCCGAUGCCCGAUUAGCUAGUUGGUGAGGUAAAGGCUCACCAAGCAACG